rfam:Nostoc sp. PCC 7120 plasmid pCC7120alpha DNA, complete genome.
GGAAGCUGGGUGCGGCGAAAGUCGCACGCCCAGAUUUAACAGAGAGGUGCGGCGGAUAAUACCGCCCAUCGACUCUAAC